GGGUGGGUACCGAAGUGGUCAAACGGGGCAGACUGUAAAUCUGCUGGCCUUGUGCCUUCGAAGGUUCGAACCCUUCCCCACCCA
rnacentral:tRNA from 1 species